rnacentral:rRNA from 1 species
GAGUUUGAUCCUGGCUCAGAUUGAACGCUGGCGGCAUGCCUAACACAUGCAAGUCGAGCGGCAGCGCGGGGUAACCUGGCGGCGAGCGGCGGACGGGUGAGGAAUACAUCGGAAUCUGCCCUUUUGUGGGGGACAACUCAGGGAAACUUGAGCUAUUACCGCAUGAUGUCGAGAGACCAAAGCUGGGGACCUUCGGGCCUGGCGCAGGAGGAUGAGCCGAUGUCGGAUUAGCUAGUUGGUAGGGUAAAGGCCUACCAAGGCGACGAUCCGUAGCUGGUCUGAGAGGAUGAUCAGCCACACUGGAACUGAGACACGUCC